UUAUGCUACUGUGUGGACUGAACAGAGGUAAAUAUAUUGAAGUAAUGUCUAUGUGCAGCCAUUCUAGGGCAGCCUUGAGUGCCCAAGGGUGAAUCAUUUACACAAUAUGGCUACAAAAGAAAAUCACAUUUCUAAAAUUUUGGUGGUAACUGAAGCAUUUUCGGGCCUCAGGGAAAAAAUGCAAGAAGAAAAGGAUCUACACACAAGUAACAAGCAAAGGAUCUUCAGCACCAAGUAACAAGCGUUAAGGGGAGAGGAGGUUUCUAGUAACACAAUGCCUGAACCAAGACCAGAUUGGCAGGAACUGCACAGCUGCGUUAACUGGAUUUCAAGUCCCAGGAAUCAGGAAGGCUGAGCCAGUUUGCUUACACACCACCUCUAAGAUGACUCAAUCAAG
rnacentral:lncRNA from 1 species